UGGGGAAUUUUGCACAAUGGGGGAAACCCUGAUGCAGCGACGCCGCGUGAUUUAGAAGGCCUUCGGGUUGUAAAAAUCUUUUCUAUGGGAAGAAAAUGACAGUACCAUAGGAAUAAGGACCGGCUAAUUACGUGCCAGCAGCCGCGGUAAUACGUAAGGUCCGAGCGUUGUCCGGAAUCAUUGGGCGUAAAGGGUACGUAGGCGGGUAAGCAAGUUAGAAGUUAAAUCCUAUAGCUCAACUAAAGUAAGCUUUUAAGACGGCUCAUCUUGAGGUAUGGAAGGGAAAGUAGAAUUCCUAGUGUAGCGUUGAAAUGCGCAGAUAUUAGGAGGAAUACCGGUGGCGAAGGCGACUUUCUGGCCAUAACCUGACGCUGAGCUACGAAAGCGUGGGUAGCAAACAGG
rnacentral:rRNA from 1 species